GUCGAUCCACCCACCUCUAGCUAAAAGCUUUUGUAACAGCGAUGGCGCCGAAAGCAGGUCGUCGAGGGAGGAAGCGCAAAGCGGAGGCAGAGGAGCAGCAAACACCAGCAGGGAAGAAGAAGGAGCGAGGAGAGGAGGAAGGCAAAAGAGUGGUCAUUGAACACUGUAAAAGCUGACGAGUGUAUAGGCAUAAUGCUGAGGAGGUGAAAUCUGCCCUCCUGGCUGCCUGUCCUGCACUGCCUGUGAUCCUCAACCCUGAGAAACCCCGCAAGAAGAGCUUCGAGAUCACUCUUAUGGAUGGAGACAAAGAAACAUGCCUGUGGACUGGAAUAAAGAAGGGUCCGCCUGCUAGGCUGAAGUUUCCUCAGCCUGAUGUAGUAGUUGCUGCUCUACAGGAGGCUCUGAAAGUUGAGCGGAUGCCAAAGUUUGCCAAAGCUGUUGCACAGAAAACAUCAGCUACAGAUUAAGUAAGAGAUCCCAGCGUUCAGGAGAUGUGACCAGUGGAAGCACAAAAUGAUGAGGAGUGACCAAGGAGAUGUUCUCAGUCCCUCCUCUGAUGAGUCAAGUGCCAACUGUUGUCAUCUUCUGGACACAUGAGGUCAUCUGGUGGAGCAUAAUGAUGCUAAUGAUGUUUUUAUAUGUGUUUUGGUAAAUUAGAGAUUUUCUUUGUUACUUUUUAGAUUUUUUACUUACUCUAGCCAAACACUUAAUUGUUUUGUGCAAGUUAAUUUUGCUGUGUUCAACUGGAUGACUUGAUACAACAAUAAAUCAUGUUUUUUUUUCUGUCCAUCCACUUUCUUUAUUAUGGUCACAGGGGGUCUGAAGCCCAUCCCAGUUGUCCUUGGUAGAGGCAGGGUACACCCUUCACAGAUCGCCAAUCUAUUGCAGGGCUAAAAUGGAGAUACAAUCAACCAUUCAUAUUCACAUUUACGCCUACAGCCAAUUUAGAAUCGCCAGUUAGUCUAAUUAACUUAACCCAAUGAAUGUUUUUGGACUUUGGGAGGCUGGAGACUGCUCAAUUCAAACACUGGACAUUCUUUCUGCAAAGCAACAAUGGUAACCAUUACUGUGUUGCACUUUUGACCUUUUCCUAAAUGUAAAUCAGCAGGACCAAGAUAAACACAAAAAAUAUGUUUAAUUUACUCAGGCAGGAACACACAUAACCCUUUAAAUCAGGUAACACACGUUCACUGCUUUAACUUUAUAUGCUUAAGUGUGUUGUCACCAUACAAACACCAUGUAUUCCUGUUCAUGUAUAGGUACAUACAAAGAUAAUGAAAGCACACUUAUGCUAAUGCUGU